GUCCACGUUGCGGCGGACCAGAGCCAGAAGCCUCCAAGGCCGAUGGUGGCGGCCGGCCAAUAUCUCGUCGUCAUGGCGAGCAGGCCGGCAGC
rnacentral:sRNA from 1 species